GGUACGGCGUAAAGCUGUCGCUAUGGGGAUGGGCCCCGCGGUGCAUUAGCUAGUUGGCAAGGUAAAGGCUUACCAAGGGCGAUGAUGCAUAGCCCGAGUUGAGAGACUGAUCGGCCACAUUGGGGACUGAGACACGGGCCCAAACUCCUACGGGGAGGCAGCAGUAGGGAAUCUUCCACAAUGGACGCAAGUCUGAUGGAGCAAAUGCCGCGUGAGUGAAGAAGGUUUUCGGAUCGUAAAAAGCUCUGUUGUUGGUGAAGAAGGAUAGAGGUAGUAACUGGCCCUUUAUUUGACGGUAAUCAACCCAGAAAGUCACGGGCUAACUACGUGCCCAGCAGCCGCGGUAAAU
rnacentral:rRNA from 1 species